UAUUUUUCAGAUACAGGAAGAACCGUAAGAACUUGCUCACGAUUUGAGGAAUUGUAAAGAAAAGAGGGAGAAUGUUUGUCUACCAAACGUCAGAUACACACAAAAGAAUGCUAGAGAGAGAGAGAGAGAGAGAGAGAGAGAGAGAGAGAGAGAGAGAGAGAGACAGAGAGAGAGAGAGAGAGAGAGAGAGAGAGAGAGAGAGAGAGAGAGAGAGAGA